rnacentral:misc_RNA from 1 species
GUUCAUUUUCGUCUUGGGCGAUAUGUUUCGGUUUUCCCAAUGUUUCACAAACAACUAUGGGUAUCGUCAAGUGUAGAUCUGUGUGGUCCAGUAUUUGAUUCGUUGGUGGUCUGCGAAACUGCAAACGUGUUAGAUAGCCCGGUGAUUCGCUGCUAUUCGAAUCAACGCGUGCGGUCUCAAU